CAUUUUGUUGCAAAACUGGAUGGAUCUCUGACAUGGGGUGUAUGUACCCCAUGCUGGCCCAGCAACCAAAGAGUUAAUACAGGCACUGCUGGCUGCUGCUGAUUGGAAGCCUCCCAGCAGCUGGAAGGAUAAAAGGGCUGGGAAGCAGUGGGGGCAGGUACCAGAGGAUUGAGCAGGUUAGAGACUGGAGCAGCACCUACCAGACAACUACUGAAGAGCUGUCCAGAAACAACAGCCCAGGAGGGGAUGAUCUGACCAACAGGCAGGUGAGCCUGCAGAGACCAUAGGGAAGGAGUGAAAUAGUUCCAUCAUCGCAGAGCGCACAGAAAAAUCCAUUUCAAUUGCUUCUUUCAAAUACUCCUAUCUCCAACUAUAACUUCAGAUGGAUAUACUAUCAGCCUGGGGAAACCAUAUUGCUUAUAACCCUGGACAGGGAGAAGUGCUAUUUGGGCAAGUAAAAGUGUCAAGCUUUCUGCCAACAAGACAGGCAUGACAGGAGAGACUGGAGAUAGGCUGGGUGACAUCAUAAGUAGCAACACUGAUGGAAGAGCGAAGGGUGGCCCAAGGGACUGAGUGGAAGAAAAGCAAAGAGAACUGAGCUGCCUCAGGAUUAGAGGACGUGUAGGAGGAUUCUCAUAUAGUCCAGCUGUAACAGUUCCUAUACCAUGUCUUUCCCCCAAUCCAUGCAUAUGUUGGAGCGAUUGUGAUCAGUGGAAAGAAGGCCUGUAAUCACUGGCUGUCAUUAUGGCUCCUUGUUUCCAGGCAGUGCAUGUUGCAACAGCCUGCAGUCUGCUUUAACUUAUUCAAGGCAGCUGAAUCCUGUGCAGAGCUACCUAGGAUGGAAAGGUUGGCACCACCUCCUGACAAAUCCAUGACAAAAAGCUGCAUUGGGGAAUGGAGGCACUGAUCAGCAACACCAUACUAUAUUUUCAGCACAAUAACCUUCUGCACAUAAACCAUUCUGGAUUCUAAAGAGCAAUGCAUGCCCACCCGCCAUCAUGCAACUCCGAAUAUGCACUACUCUGCUUUUGUGUGCAGCUAGAAGAAUGAUCGGAGUCACGGAAUGACUUGUGCCAUCCAUCCCAGGGGAAUGUGGCCCUUUGUUUUAUAGUUACACCCAAGGCCCAAAAUCAAAUGUAACAAUGUUGGUAAUAAAUAGUACUGAGGUGUUUUGUAGUAAAAUAUGUAUCCAUAGCUAAUCUUACCACACAAAAAUAGCAUGUUUAGUCAUUAUACAAUGUGAGUGGGUCUCUCUAAUUUCAAAAACAAGAAAAAUAAGCAAAGUAGAAUGGAGAGAAUUUUAAUAAAUAAUAUUUUAUUUGUAUAUAGUGCCUUUCAACCUGAGGAAUUUCAAAACUCUUCAAACACUUUACAACUCACUCUUUUUCUCUUGGCCUAAAAUAAUCUAUAUUUAAAUAUAAAAGAAAAGUGUCUGCAUCAUUAACUACCAUCUUCUAUUACACCUUGUGUACUUAAUCUACCAUUGAAAUGCAGCCACCUCUGAGGCAAAACUGUGUCAUAGCGUACAUCAUGCAACAGUUUAAGAGUAAAACUAUAGGCAUAGUAAAAUAAUUACAUAGACUGUGGAUGUAAAAACAGGUGAAUAAGUGUUGCCUACAAAACAAUAUAUAAAUACAGUUCACACUGUGUGGAUAUAUUUAUCUAGACAUUUAUAUGAGCACACAUUGUCAGACAGCUGGGUACUUCCCAUCAAUAAAACCAAUCAAUAUAUUACAAUAUGUUGUAUAUAGCUAGAAACAGUAAAUACAAAUUGAAUAGAUGUACAUAAGCACUGAAUUUAGUUACCAGAUGCCAGGAACAUAGUCAAUUACAGAGAUUGAAUAGUAUCAAAUAUUGGAUCAAGAACUUGCCUUGAUGAUGAGUUAGUGGUUGUGCUCCUUUCUAAACUGUUGCAAUUAUACCAGCUGUUCCUAUUGCUGCCUUUGUUAAGGUAUUAUAUAUCAGUAUUGAUUACUCCUACAAAAUUCCCACCAAAGAUGAUAAUUUUUCCUGAGAAAAGACUAGGUGUUAUACAAAGAAUAUGUCCAUUAAAAUACACUCCUUCCUAAUCCUUAAUUUUAGUCUGUGCCCCACUGGGCUUUUGGUGCUCUGAUACUCAAAUAUCUUGGAGAUAAUGAGCUUUGAACUCCCCUGAAUUGACCCGUAACUUUUAAAAAAGAAAUCUUAUUGGGAUGUGGCUUUAAUACAUAGGUUACAUUACCUGAGUAAGCACCAUCUGUAAAUAUCAUUGUUCAGUAAAUGGGGAAACAAUGGCAUAUUCAGCCAUUUGACAGAGGGGAUAUUUAGCUUAUUGUCCUUUAGAUAAGCUGCAUCAGCACAAAACGGACAACUGUAAUUUCAGGUACAAAAUGCUUUUGAUUUGGAUAUAUUGAACUACUUAGAUUUGCUGCAUUCCUCCAUAUUAUUUCAUUAAUCACAUAACAAGCUUUCCAUUUCUCCACUAAACAUGCUAACUCUAAUUAUUGCUAGACUGAACAGAUGUUUCCUCAUUUAGAUGCUCAGUGCAUAGUCAUUUGUUACUCUCAUUGUCACACAGAUUUCAAUUUAUAUUACAUCACUCUAAUGUCCUUUCUGUUUGUGAUCCCUUUGGGUUAAUAUGUCCAUUUAAAUAACAAGUAUAUAUAUAAAAAUAGAUUAGAAAUGUGUACUUUCAGCUAAUGGGCUUGUCUGAAAAUAUAAGGAAUGUUUUUUAACAGUAGAAUCAUCCCACUAAAUACCGAUAAAUAGCAAAAAUUCUGAUGUCAGAUACAAUUAUUCCAGAUUUACACAGGUGAGGCCAUAAUUUGGCCUAUAAAUGUAAUACAGUAUAUGUAUUAAAUAGUAUAAUUCUCAUUAUAAUGAGUAGUAGUGUAUCUUUCUAUCUAUUUUGCAUCACAUGAAGUGUAAAGGAACAAGUAAACUUUUAAACUAAUAUUUAGUAAUGACAAUGGGAAAUGCUGAACAAUGCAACAGAAACUUCUUGUGCACUCCUAGGAGAGGAAGGAGUAGCAUUUAGAACAUGUAUUUCAUGUUGGUAUGACGGAAUGAAGUUUGUUGUAGCACUAGAUUUUUGUAUCAUAUUCAGAUGAAAUAAAUACUGAUAUAUUUGAUUUGAAAAAAACAGUUCCUGGGGUUGGUUUGUUACAAAGUUGAAGCAAAUUUAGAGAUAUGGU